ACGCUCGACACCUACGGGAAGCAGCAGUGGGGAAUAUUGCACAAUGGGGGAAACCCUGAUGCAGCGACGCCGCGUGAGCGAAGAAGUAUUUCGGUAUGUAAAGCUCUAUCAGCAGGGAAGAAACUGACGGUACCUGACUAAGAAGCACCGGCUAAAUACGUGCCAGCAGCCGGGUAAUCUGAGCGGGCUGGCAAGGC
rnacentral:rRNA from 1 species